rnacentral:rRNA from 1 species
GACGAACCGUCCAAACGUUAUUCGGUAUCACUGGGCUUAAAGCGUUCGUAGGCGGCCUAGUAGGUGAGGUGUGAAAGCCCUCGGCCCAACCGAGGAAUUGCGCUUCAAACCACUAGGCUCGAGGGAGACAGGGGUGAUGGGAACUGUUGGUGGAGUGGUGAAAUGCGUUGAUAUCAACAGGAACACCGGUGGCGAAAGCGCAUCACUGGGUCUUUACUGACGCUGAGGAACGAAAGCUAGGGGAGCGAACGGG